rnacentral:lncRNA from 1 species
GUCACGUGUCUACUGCUUCCGCCGGCUCUCACUGAGACCUCGCGAGAAUACCGUUCCCCCUCACUUUCUCCCCUGCGGGCUGUCGGGAAGAAGGUCGGCAUUCUGGGGUUGCCACCAGGAGGUCAGCGGGUGGGCCUUGCGCAUGCGUCCCGUGCCAGCUUUCAAAGUCCGGCUAAGGAGGGGCUCGAAGCUAUUUUCAGAAUCCUGUUGGUGGGUUGCUGUGGCCCGCAAAGUUACCUAGUGGUGUUUCUGUCACUUGGAAAAGCUCUUCAAUGCCUAGCCAUCCUUGGAUAAUAUUCACAUAGCCAGUGCUUGUUAGACUCGUUCAAAGCACUUUAUUGAGAAACCGCAAUUAACCCGGAGCCCGUGGGUUCCUCCACGGCCAUUAUCAUGCUAUGGAGUGUGAGCAACCGCAGUCCCAUUUCUAGUCUCUUCCGGCCACCCGAAGCAACUAUUGAUCUUAACUAAUGUUUGCUGUAGGAAACGUUUAUCCCUACCACCUUUCACUUUCAUUACGAUUAAGAGACCUAACAGACCAGACAUACUAACUUCUUUUCCUUUUGUAGAGUCAUUCUGAGAAUGCUGUUUGACUCCGUUGCUUAGGUAAUGGGCAGGCCUGGGUGAUUCUUGCCCCCUACCGGCUGUGCAUCUCACUCGCCUCCUGGUGAAAGCGAACCAGCUCUGUAGUUGGAGCAGUAUAAACUCUCCAAGAGAAACUAUGGGGGUGGAGGGUAUAGGCAUGACGAGGGUAACUAUGAAUCUUCC